GCAGCAGCCGCGGGAAAACGGAGGGUGCAAGCGUUAAUCGGAAUUACUGGGCGUAAAGCGCACGCAGGCGGUCUGACAAGUCAGAUGUGAAAUCCCCGGGCUUAACCUGGGAACUGCAUUUGAAACUGGCAGGCUAGAGUCUUGUAGAGGGGGGUAGAAUUCCAGGUGUAGCGGUGAAAUGCGUAGAGAUCUGGAGGAAUACCGGUGGCGAAGGCGGCCCCCUGGACAAAGACUGACGCUCAGGUGCGAAAGCGUGGGGAGCAAACAGGAUUAGAUACCCCAGUAGUCCCUGUCUCUUAUAC
rnacentral:rRNA from 1 species